rnacentral:rRNA from 1 species
AGUGAACGCUGGCGGUAGGCCUAACACAUGCAAGUCGAACGGCAGCACAGUAAGAGCUUGCUCUUACGGGUGGCGAGUGGCGGACGGGUGAGGAAUACAUCGGAAUCUACUUUUUCGUGGGGGAUAACGUAUGGAAACUUACGCUAAUACCGCAUACGACCUACGGGUGAAAGCAGGGGAUCUUCGUACCUUGCGCGAUUGAAUGAGCCGAUGUCGGAUUAUCUAGUUGGCGGGGUAAAGGCCCACCAAGGCGACGAUCCGUAGCUGGUCUGAGAGGAUGAUCAGCCACACUGGAACUGAGACACGGUCCAGACUCCUACGGGAGGCAGCAGUGGGGAAUAUUGGACAAUGGGCGCAAGCCUGAUCCAGCCAUACCGCGUGGGUGAAGAAGGCCUUCGGGUUGUAAAGCCCUUUUGUUGGGAAAGAAAAGCAGCAGGUUAAUACCCCGCUGUUCUGACGGUACCCAAAGAAUAAGCACCGGCUAACUUCGUG